rnacentral:rRNA from 1 species
AGUGAACGCUGGCGGUAGGCCUAACACAUGCAAGUCGAACGGCAGCACAGUAAGAGCUUGCUCUUACGGGUGGCGAGUGGCGGACGGGUGAGGAAUACAUCGGAAUCUACUUUUUCGUGGGGGAUAACGUAGGGAAACUUACGCUAAUACCGCAUACGACCUACGGGUGAAAGCAGGGGAUCUUCGGACCUUGCGCGAUUGAAUGAGCCGAUGUCGGAUUAGCUAGUUGGCGGGGUAAAGGCCCAACAAGGCGACGAUCCGUAGCUGGUAUGAGAGGAUGGUCAGCCACACGGGAACUGAGACAGGGUCCAGACUCCUACGGGAGGCAGCAGUGGGGAAUAUUGGACAAUGGGCGCGAGCCUGAUCCAGCCAUACCGCGUGGGUGAAGAAGGCCUUCGGGUUGUAAAGCCCUUUUGUUGGUAAAGAAAAGCAGCAGGUUAAUACCCCGCUGUUCUGACGGUACCCAAAGAAUAAGCACCGGCUAACUUCGUG